rnacentral:tRNA from 1 species
ACUUGAAUAGCUUAUAAAGAGCAUAACAUUGAAGAUGUUAAGGAGAUAUUAUUAUCUUUAGGUA